AUAACUUUCAGCAACGGAUCUCUUGGCUCUCGCAUCGAUGAAGAACGCAGCGAAAUGCGAUAAGUAAUGUGAAUUGCAGAAUUCAGUGAAUCAUCGAAUCUUUGAACGCACCUUGCGCUCCUUGGUAUUCCGAGGAGCAUGCCUGUUUGAGUGU
rnacentral:rRNA from 1 species